GACGAACGCUGGCGGCGUGCCUAAUACAUGCAAGUCGAACGCUUUUUCUUUCACCGGAGCUUGCUCCAUCGAAAGAAAAAGAGUGGCGAACGGGUGAGUAACACGUGGGUAACCUGCCCAUCAGAAGGGGAUAACACUUGGAAACAGGUGCUAAUACCGUAUAACACUAUUUUCCGCAUGGAAGAAAGUUGAAAGGCGCUUUUGCGUCACUGAUGGAUGGACCCGCGGUGCAUUAGCUAGUUGGUGAGGUAACGGCUCACCAAGGCAACGAUGCAUAGCCGACCUGAGAGGGUGAUCGGCCACACUGGGACUGAGACACGGCCCAGACUCCUACGGGAGGCAGCAGUAGGGAAUCUUCGGCAAUGGACGAAAGUCUGACCGAGCAACGCCGCGUGAGUGAAGAAGGUUUUCGGAUCGUAAAACUCUGUUGUUAGAGAAGAACAAGGAUGAGAGUAAAAUGUUCAUCCCUG
rnacentral:rRNA from 1 species